rnacentral:rRNA from 1 species
AGAGUUUGAUCCUGGCUCAGGAUGAACGCUGGCGGCGUGCCUAACACAUGCAAGUCGAGCGAAGCACUUCAUUAGAACUCUUCGGAGGGACGAGGAAGUGACUGAGCGGCGGACGGGUGAGUAACGCGUGGGCAACCUGCCUUACACAGGGGGAUAACAGUUAGAAAUGACUGCUAAUACCCGCAUAAGACCACAUUGCCGCAUGGCAGGGUGGUAAAAACUCCGGUGGUGUAAGAUGGGCCCGCGUCUGAUUAGGUAGUUGGCAGGGUAGAGGCCUACCAAGCCUACGAUCAGUAGCCGGCCUGAGAGGGUGGACGGCCACAUUGGGACUGAGACACGGCCCAAACUCCUACGGGAGGCAGCAGUGGGGAAUAUUGCACAAUGGGGGAAACCCUGAUGCAGCGACGCCGCGUGAGUGAGGAAGUAUUUCGGUAUGUAAAGCUCUAUCAGCAGGGAAGAAAAUGACGGUACCUGACUAAGAAGCCCCGGCUAACUACGUGCCAGCAGCCGCGGUAAUACGUAGGGGGCAAGCGUUAUCCGGAUUUACUGGGUGUAAAGGGAGCGUAGACGGAGGAGCAAGUCUGAUGUGAAAAUCCGGGGCCCAACCCCGGAACUGCAUUGGAAACUGUUUAUCUAGAGUGUCGGAGAGGCAAGUGGAAUUCCUAGUGUAGCGGUGAAAUGCGUAGAUAUUAGGAGGAACACCAGUGGCGAAGGCGGCUUGCUGGACGAUGACUGACGUUGAGGCUCGAAAGCGUGGGGAGCAAACAGGAUUAGAUACCCUGGUAGUCCACGCCGUAAACGAUGACUACUAGGUGUCGGGAGGCAAAGCCUUUCGGUGCCGCAGCCAACGCAAUAAGUAGUCCACCUGGGGAGUACGUUCGCAAGAAUGAAACUCAAAGGAAUUGAC